CUUACCAACCCUUGACAUCCUGUGCUACAUCCAGAGAUGGAUGGUUCCCUUCGGGGACGCAGUGACAGGUGCUGCAUGGCUGUCGUCAGCUCGUGUCGUGAGAUGUUCGGUUAAGUCCGGCAACGAGCGCAACCCACAUCCCUAGUUGCCAGCAGUUCGGCUGGGCACUCUAUGGAAACUGCCCGUGAUAAGCGGGAGGAAGGUGUGGAUGUCGUCAAGUCAUCAUGGCCCUUACGACCUGGGCUACGCACGUGCUACAAUGGGCAGUACAAAGGGUUGCCAACCCGCGAGGGGGAGCUAAUCUCAUAAAACUGUUCGUAGUCCGGAUUGGAGUCUGCAACUCGACUCCAUGAAGUCGGAAUCGCUAGUAAUCGUGAAUCAGAAUGUCACGGUGAAUACGUUCCCGGGCCUUGUACACACCGCCCGUCACACCAUGGGAGUGGGUUGCACCAGAAGUAGCUAGUCUAACCUUCGGGAGGACGGUUACCACGGUGUGAUUCAUGACUGGGGUGAAGUCGUAACAAGGUAACCAAGGGCGAUUCCAGCACA
rnacentral:rRNA from 1 species